UACGUCUACAGCUCUCCACCACCU
rnacentral:siRNA from 1 species